AUUUUUCGCAAUGGGCGCAAGCCUGACGAAGCAACGCCGCGUGGAGGACGAAGGCCCUAGCGGUCGUAAACUCCUGUCUAGUGGGACGAAAGCAUUUUGGGUGAAUAAUCCAGAGUGUUGACUGUACCGCUGGAGGAAGCUCCGGCCAACUCCGUGCCAGCAGCCGCGGUAAUACGGAGGGAGCAAGCGUCACUCGGAAUUAUUGGGCGUAAAGGGCGCGUAGGCGAUUCGAAAAGUCAACUGUGAAAGCCCAGGGCCUAACCCUGGAAGUGCAGCUGAUACUGUUGAAUUUGAGUUCCGGAGAGGAAGGCAGAAUUCCCGGUGUAGCGGUGAAAUGCGUAGAUAUCGGGAGGAAUACCAGUGGCGAAGGCGGCCUUCUGGACGGAUACUGACGCUGAGGCGCGAAAGCUAGGGGAGCAAAC
rnacentral:rRNA from 1 species